CUUGCUUUCUCUAGGGCCAGCGUACAAUUUUCUUAAACAUUGCCAUGUUAGGUUCCCGUCAGGAACCAUACAAGGUAUGGAAAGGAAAGGGCAAAGGAAAAGAAAAAAAGGAAACUUGCAAGGUGAUGUCACCAGGAACGAAUGGGUAAUCAAAGGAGGUGGAAAUUGACAGUACGCGCAUGGAGCAGUAGAACUUCUAUUUGAACCAGGAUACAGGAACAGUGCCAACAGCAAAUGAUCAGAACAAUAUACCAAGUUAGAAGUUAUGGGGAAAAUGUUGUGAAGGCAUAAACAUGUUGAAAUGGAGAGUGUACAUUAUACGCUACAGAAUGUCAUGUUACAUUAGUAGACUUUGCAACUUUAUGCAUCUUUGUGUACUUGAGUGGCGGCUUUGCCAUACGGUACACAAACAACUCCAGUAUGGGACAUCUCAUAUGCGUUAUGUAUUGUAUUUGUACUAGCUAAGCAGGUUGAAGAAGUAUGAUGACGAUAAUCAACAGUGGGUCACUGUCAGCGUCAGGCAUGUGAGAUAAACAAAAUGAAGGAAUGGCAAACAGGA